CCCCCCCCCCCCCACAGCACACUCUUCACUGAAUCAUAUAACCCUCAAAAUAGCAAAAUUGAGAAAGGAGAAAGUAGUUGGUAUUGUGUUUUGGCAGAGAGGGAGUUUGAGGAAAUCUGUGAAAAUGAAAAUGCCUAAUAUAAUGACUAGAGAUAAAGAUCUGCAUAAAAAGACGAUAGUGUUGAAAGGGUGGGGGAGAUAAAUAUUCUGAAGAGCUGGGGGAAAUACAAAGUGUAAAAUAAAAAGGGCUUGAGAGAGUGAGACUUAGGGAAAGUUGGGAGGAGAGUAGAGGAGUCAGUAUUAUAGAAACUAAGGGAGGGAAGAAGAAAGUGUUUCUCAUUAAAUUAAAUCUUGUUAGAUUUAGGCCAUCAUUCCACACUGAGAAGAUCUUAGAUCUUGAUUCUCCAGUUCAUUCUAUUGGCUUUUCCCCUUCCUUCUUGGCAUGUUUAUUGCAGACAUCAAUAUGAUUGAAUAAAAAGAUUACAGAACCAACUCAGAUACGUAUUCAAGUCAAAACUUCAACUUUAUUCUAACUAGCUGGAUAACCUUGAACUAAGUGGCUUAAACUCAAUACUACAUUCUCACAUCAUCCCCACUUCUAAACUUACUGCUUUGGAGGCAAAACCCAUCCUUCCAGUCUGGUUCAGAUGCUCAAAACUAGAUGUCAUCCUCAAUUCACAAGCUUGCUCCUCCUGCCUCCCUCAAUAUUCACCUAUUAUGUCAUCUGAAUUCAUCCUCUUCUCUGAUAACAUCACCAUCCUAGUGCAGGCCCUCAUCUCUUCUCACAUCUAGACAUGCUACAAGUGGUUAAUCUGCCUGAAAGUGAUUUUCCUAAAAUGUAGUUCUGACCAUGUCACCACACUCCCAAGUCAAACUCUAGUGGCUCCCUUUUACAUCCAGGAUCAAAUACAAGAUCUUCUGGUAUUCAAAGCCCUUUAUAUCCCAAUUUCCUUCCCCUUUUUUGCUCUCACUCACAUUCCUCUUUUCCUGGAGCCCCCCCACAUACUAUUUUGGUCUAGUAACAUUAAUUUCCCUACUGUUCCUCUGGAGGAGACGUCAUCCGUCAGCUCUAGGCAUUUUUCUAGCUUGUCCCUCAUUUUGAAAUUUUCUUCCUCAUCCCUUUUCCUGGCUUCCAUAAUUUGAAGCCCAACCUAAAUUCCUACCUCAGGAAGCUUUCCUGCUUUCCAAGCCUGAUGGUCUGUGCAUUGUGCUAUCUAGCUAACCCUGGACUAACGAAGCCAAGUUAAUAUACCACUUCUUUUGCAAAUUAUGUCUGCCCUCCUCCCAGGGAAUUGCAAAUUUCUGACCUAUAUUUUCUUUCUGGAGGUAAUAGUGGAUUUCUUUAUUUCUACUUCAUUCUGUGGAACACAGGAUACUGCUUUCAUCUCAAGAGGAGCCAGGUCCAGGAAGAACUUCAGGUUCCUAUAGAGUUCAAGUGAGAAGAGAGCUUUUUUCUUCCAUUUCAUUAUUCUAUCCUCCAAUCUUGUAUGUGUAACUUAGUCUUUGAUUCAUGUCUUUGGUUUUCCCUUUGAUUCAACUGUUUCAUCUUGUCAAUGACAUAGCUGGUAAACGAAUGAGAAAGCAUUCUUCAAGUUUUUUCUCCUAAUCUGCUGAGAUUAAUUUAGGUUUAUAUAGCCUAUAGAUGCCCACAAUUGCUUAUUUAUUAUGCCUUCCUACUAUUCUUUGGGUGACCUGCCACUGUGAGUGUAGUUUACUACAAACAAUAGCUAGCUAUGAUAACUAAGAAUAUUAUUGCAAAUAUAAGUUCCUUAUUUCAGAGAGACAUUUGGAAUCAGUAACUCAAUUUCCCAAAUGCAAUGCAAUCUAUUGUUCUACUAAAAUUUGAGUCUAAUUUAUUGUCCAACUGCAAUAAUUGUCCAAGAUAUUCUGUUGGAUUGCCUGUCCAAAACUUAACUGCAUUUUAUAAAACGCAUUCUUCAUCUAGUUGUCUUUUCUCAACGGAAUGAGAAAUGUUUUGAAUGAUUUUGGAGAUCUCUGAGAAGGCUCAGUGCCUUCUCUGAUGGUAUUUUGGGAAUCAGUACCAACUCACUAACAAAGAGGGGAGGGUUAACUAGAUAUAGAUAGGAUGCCAUUUUUCAGUUGGAACUCUGAUGGACUAUGUCCUUCAUGACAAUGACAAAUACUUUUGGUAAGAAUGUUUGCAUGUUUUAUGCCUUAACUGAUGACAAAAGGGUUUCUUAUUUCUGUUGUUAUAUCUUUCAAGGGGUCUUAAUAUACUUUUAAAAUAUGCAUAAGAUAUUUUUGGAAGACAGCCUUUUGUAUUGGCAAAUUAAAAUACCCUCCUCACUUUUUUUUUUUUUUUUUAAGAGCUGAUAGCUUUAGUGGCUAUAAGGUCUUCUAUUCUCUUGACUUUUCAGACUUCUACUUUAAAAAUGGUAGUUAAUCACAAUGUCAUUUGUAAGAAUUUGCCUAUUCCUUUUUUAUUGCCUGCCUUAAGAAUGUCCUUUAUGCCUGCAGGUGGUUCUUACUGUCUGGAAUACUUAAUUGUAAUUUUUAGCUCUUCCCUUUUUGGUAAUAAGGUGGUGUAAUUUUUUGAAAGGUUUGAUUACUCUUAACUUUUAGGUUUGAUAAUUGAUCCUUCAACUUUCUCACAGUUUUGGAUCAUCAUUCAGCAUGGAUUUUCCUCUGUUCUUGCUCUAGUCCAAUUUUUUUUUCCCUUUUAAAAAAAUUUCAGUGCCAUUUUGACUUUCUUUGUAGCAUAUUGGGGCGUGUGAUUUCAAAGUCCAAAUAUAGGGACUUCACUAUCACUGACUGAGCAAAUAGGUUGUUAUAGAAAUAUUGACAGGUUUUCUCUCCCCCCCCCCAUUUUUUUUUUCAUUAUUAUCUUCUCACCUAUUAUGAUCAUCACUCAGCAUAGAUUUCUUCUGUUCUUGCUCUAGUCCAGUUUUUUUUUCUUUUAAAAAGUUUUAGUGCCAUUUUGACUUUCUUAUGUAACAUAUGAAGGGAGUAUGAUUUCAGAGUAAAUAUAGAGGCUUCACUGUCAUUGAUUGAGCAAAUAGGUUGUUAUAGAAAUAUUGACAAAUGAGUUGAAAUUCUAAAUUGAUGUUGCAUGUGACUGACAUGCCUUUCUAGCUAUCAAAGACAUCAAGUGCUUUAUGGCUAAGAUGGUUUAUUUGAAUUGGGUUAAGCCUUCAGAAAUGGUGAUAAUCUGUUUCAAUAUCUGUUCUUUUAUCAAUUUCAUAAUUUUCAAUGUCAUUCAUCAAUUUCAUUUUAAAUUGUUCUAAAAUCAGUAGUCUGUAUACAGUCUGGAAACUGUCAUCAGUAACUUGUCCUUUCUUGUUUGUCAUUGGCUGAAGUCAUUAAAUGUUAAAGCAUUAAAUUGGCUCAUUUUUGAAAGGCUUAUCUAGCUAGUAGUUUGUGGAAUUUUUCUCUGUGGAUGCAUAAUCUAUAACCUUCAUUUAUGUCCUUUAACAAGUCUUUCUUCUGAGCAAUGCAAUAUGGAUGACCAAGCAUCCAGUGACUGCUUGUUGCUUAUGGAUUUAUAUUAAAACCAGCUCCAAUGUUCUUUGUUUGUUUGUCCAAAGAGAACCUAAGAACCAACACUUCCAUUUAGUUUUUUAGUUCUUUUCACCUUCUGGGCUUCUUUAUUGUGAGAAUAACGACCCAUUUCUGUUAUUGGUCAGCUAUCACAUUUAAAUUCCAAAGAGUUAAUUUUCUUUAUAAUGAUUAAAAAACCCUAGAAUUUUUAGCACUUUCUGCUGUCCCUUAGUUUGUUACCAUAACAGCAGCAGUAGGGAGGGACUGGUCAUACAGGACUAAAGACCAUAGUUAUAUUGUUUCACGGAUUGUUGUGGCCAAAGAUGUCAUCAGUGGGCAUCCUAACAGCAAGUUUCUUGGCCCUUAGAUGAGCUGGUUUUGGGAAAAGAGUCUGCCUGUUCCGAGGAUUGUUCCUAUGCAUUACAAUGACUUAGUCAUUAAAUUUGUGGUUCAAUACCUUAGAAAGUACACAGAAGCUCCUUUCCAUUGUCUCAUAUGAAGAGUUACUGAAGGCUAUUUCAGUGAAGUGGAAGUUCUGACAGAUUUUACCAAGCUGGAAAGACUUUAAAUAUGAAUCCAUGAUGAAAUGUAUCACCUGGAAUGUUAUCUAGCCAAGUUAGGAGAGGUUUAUCACUGGAAUUUUGAUAAUGAAUUAUCUCAAUCACUGUAAAUCACCAAUUUUGCAUACAAAGAUGAAGAGAUAUAUUUUCUAUCAAUAGAAGGAAUUCCUAUUAUCAGUGAGAUCAGGGGUUCAUAGUAAUGGUGCAGUAGAACGGGUACAGGUUUAGGAUGUGACAGCCUCAGUGGGACAACCCAGCAAGUCUCUGAAUCCUAUGAGUAUCAUUUUACUUGUAUGUGAAGUUGAGAUCUUGGCCCAAAUGAUAUCUGAAGUCCUUUCCUGCUCAAAAGCUGCAUCGGUUUGUGAUGCUGUUUUCAUUCUGCUCCGGUAGGAAUUCUAGUUAGAAAUUUUUAGUUUUAAUGUCUUCAUUAAGGAAACAGCUUAUAUUAAUGGCAACAUAACCGAGGUAUUAUGCUGAAGAAAUUGUUUUUGAGGUGUCAGUGACAAAGCACAAUCACAGUGAAAACAGACAUAUGCUAGAAAAUCAGGAUGAUUCUGAGAGAUGAAAUUACUGGGUUUUAGUAUUAGCAUGAGUUCACAGUGUUCUUAAUCUGUGGUAACCUUGGGAAGGAGGAAUAGGGAGACUCGUAUAGGCACCUUAUUUUUAAAGUAAAAGGAUAAUUAGACAUAUUCAAAAUGAAUAUCAAUGUCCAAACUUUAAAUUUCCAUAAAUCAGGGUAUCGGAUAUCUCUUAAAAUGUAAGAUCUUAUUAAAAGAGGCAAAUAAUCUAUUAGAGAGGGGAAAAAGGCAUUUUUAUGGUUUGAGGCUUUAAUUAUUUAGAAGGGUUCAAAGUGAAGCUCAGCCUUUACUGAGAACUUCAUUGAGCACUAUAGAAUUAUAUCCUGAAAAGUUUUACCAAGAUUCUUUUAGAAGAUCUGUAACACUUUUAAACAUAGUUGAAGACAUUGUAUUUGGUUCCCCAGUCUUCAUUUUAAAGGAAAACUCCAUUUAUUCCUAUGUUCUCUAGUGUUUUUAAUAGGGUGUUGUAUUUUGUCAAAAGAUUUUUUUCCUAUCUUCUGAUGUAAUUAUGUGAUUUCUGUUAUAGUCAAUUUUAGUUUUCCUAAUAUUGAAACAGCCCUGCAUUCCUGGUAUAACUCUACUUGGUAUAUAAUCCUGGAGAUAAAUUGCUUGUGAUUUCUUUGCCUAAUAUUUUAGUUAACAACUUUGCAUCAAUAUUAGGGAAACUGAUGUAUUAUAAUUUUUCUGUUUUGAGCCUACGUGGUUUAGGUAUUAGCACCAUAUCUGUGUCAUAAAAGGAAUUUGGUAGGUCUCCUUUCCUCCCUGUUUUUCCAAAUAGUUUGUAUAGUAUUGGAAUUAAUUGUUCUUUAAAUGUUUGGUAGAAUUAUCUAUCUGGCCCUGGAGAUUUUUACCUUAGGGAGUUAAUAGCUUGUUCAAUUUUUUUUCUAAAAUGGAACUAUUAAAUUCGUCUAUUAAUCUGGGGAAUCUAUAUAAGUAUUCAUCCUGGCAUAUAGUUGGGCAAAAGCUCUUCAUUGGUACUAAGUUCAUCCUUUUCUCUCCCAUAGUCUGUUAUCACUGAAUUAAUGCUGCUGAGAUGGAACUAUACAGUAAUGGCAUCUAUGAGUUUGACUAGAGGCUUGACAAACUGUGGAUUCAUUUCCUGUAAAUCUUAAAUGAACCUGUUCCUUGGAGCUCUUGGAAAAAAGCUGGAUCUUUCCAAAAUGAGGCAUUUAUGAUACUUCUCCACUUCUGUGUGUGUGCAUGUAACAGAUGCCGAAAAUGACGCUGUUUGAGAUAACGUUCAAGGUGGAACUACCACCAUGAAUAAUAUAUCAAUAAACUUCAUGCAAGCAUU